UACGUAGGGUGCGAGCGUUGUCCGGAAUUACUGGGCGUAAAGAGCUCGUAGGUGGUUUGUCGCGUCGUCUGUGAAAUUCCGGGGCUUAACUUCGGGCGUGCAGGCGAUACGGGCAAUACUUGAGUGCUGUAGGGGAGACUGGAAUUCCUGGUGUAGCGGUAGAAUGCGCAGAUAUCAGGAGGAACACCGAUGGCGAAGGCAGGUCUCUGGGCAGUAACUGACGCUGAGGAGCGAAAGCAUGGGUAGCGAACAGGAUUAGA
rnacentral:rRNA from 1 species